UUCUGGCGGCUUAUCGCUGUGGAACCACCUGUUCCCAUUUCGAACACAGAAGUGAAACGCAGUUGAGCCGAUGAUACUUACAAAGGGAAAGUAGGUAGCCGUCAGAAU
rnacentral:rRNA from 1 species